rnacentral:rRNA from 1 species
GUGGGGAAUAUUGGACAAUGGGCGAAAGCCUGAUCCAGCCAUGCCGCGUGUGUGAAGAAGGUCUUCGGAUUGUAAAGCACUUUAAGUUGGGAGGAAGGGCAGUAAGUUAAUACCUUGCUGUUUUGACGUUACCGACAGAAUAAGCACCGGCUAACUUCGUGCCAGCAGCCGCGGUAAUACGAAGGGUGCAAGCGUUAAUCGGAAUUACUGGGCGUAAAGCGCGCGAAGGUGGUUUUGUAAGUUGGAGGUGAAAUCCCCGGGCUCAACCUGGGAACUGCCUCCAAAACUGCAUGACUAGAGUACGGUAGAGGGUAGUGGAAUUUCCUGUGUAGCGGUGAAAUGCGUAGAUAUAGGAAGGAACACCAGUGGCGAAGGCGACUACCUGGACUGAUACUGACACUGAGGUGCGAAAGCGUGGGGAGCAAACAGGAUUAGAAACCCCAGUAGUCC